rnacentral:tRNA from 1 species
GCGGCGGGUGGGCAGCGGGGCCAGUCCGCCCGGGCCGGAGCCCUGCGGGCCGGCGGUGGGUUCCGGGGCCGGUUCGCCGCG